rnacentral:rRNA from 1 species
AGUGACGAUAGCCUAGGAGAUACACCUGUACCCAUACCGAACACAGAAGUUAAGCCCUAGAACGCCGGAAGUAGUUGGGGGUUGCCCCCUGUGAGAUAGGGAAGUCGCUUAG